UCCUCUACAACCGCGCAGAGAAGGUUUUAAAAAUACAUUAGUAUUUACCUUAAUGGCGAGUCUUAGAU
rnacentral:sRNA from 1 species